ensembl:lncRNA
GCCAGGCUCACGCUUGGGAAUGCUCUUCACGCAGUGCUGAAGAAUUGCUUUCUGGAGGAUCCAGUGCCUCUCUAGUGCAUGGAAGAAUUGAUGCUUUUGAACUGUGGUGCUGGAGAAGACUCUUGAGAGUCCCUUGGACUGCAAGGAGAUCAAACCAGUCCAUCCUAAAGGAGAUUAGUCCUGAAUAUUCAUUGGAAGGACUGAUGCUGAAGCUGAAGCUCCAAUACUUUGGCCACUUGAUGCAAAGAACUGACUCACUGGAAAAGCCCCUGAUGCUGGGAAAGAUUGAAGGUGGGAGGAGAAGGGGGUGACAGAGGAUGAGAUGGUUGGAUGGCAUCACUGACUUGAUGGACAUGAGUCUGAGCAAGCUCCAGAAGAUGGUGAAGGAGAGGGAAGCCCGGAGCGCUGCAGUCCAUGGGGUCGCAAAAAGUCAGACACGACUGAGCAACUGAAGUGAACUGAGGCUCAUUUUGGACAAAAACUUCAGACAGAGUGUUGAGUAAGAGCAGGGUUAGUUUAGCAAAUUGCCCUUGUAUACAGACAGAGAAUUGCAUGGGUCUCUCCAAGAGACCCAUGUUCUAC